GACGAACGCUGGCGGCGUGCUUAACACAUGCAAGUCGAACGGUGAAGCUCCAGCUUGCUGGAGUGGAUCAGUGGCGAACGGGUGAGUAACACGUAAGCAACCUGCCCCUGACUCUGGAAUAAGCGCUGGAAACGGCGUCUAAUACUGGAUACGAGAAGGGCCCGCAUGGGCACUUUCUGGAAAGUUUUUUGGUUGGGGAUGGGCUCGCGGCCUAUCAGCUUGUUGGUGAGGUAAUGGCUCACCAAGGCGACGACGGGUAGCCGGCCUGAGAGGGCGACCGGCCACACUGGGACUGAGACACGGCCCAGACUCCUACGGGAGGCAGCAGUGGGGAAUAUUGCACAAUGGGCGAAAGCCUGAUGCAGCGACGCCGCGUGAGGGAUGACGGCCUUCGGGUUGUAAACCUCUUUCAGCAGGGAAGAAGCGAAAGUGACGGUACCUGCAGAAGAAGCACCGGCUAACUACGUG
rnacentral:rRNA from 1 species